GUUCUGCUAGUUUCUGGCAGAAAUGACGGGGAGAUGACUUAACCUCUCUGAGCCUCAUGUUCCACAUCUGAGAAGGCAGGGAUCUGGCCUAUCCAGCAGGGUUCUUUCAGGGACUAGAGGCAGUGUUGCUGAAGAUCCUGGCACGGGGUGUGGGUUCCUUGGUUGGGGGGCGGAGGGGGACCCCCGCACCGUGGUAGCUCCUGUCACUGUGCACAGAGGCCACCGUGUGGAGGUAAGGAUGCUGCUGUCUCCCAGCUCAAAGCCUGGGCACAGCCAGGGUGCCCUGGUUCAGCUUCACCCCGAUGCUGUGGCUCCCGCCCGCCAGAGGGGAGGUGCAGCUGCAGGGUCCAAGCCGGAAGUUGAAACCCUCUGUUUCCUGUAGGUAUUUUCGAAAUGCUUCCUUUGGGGCCUGCGGCAAAUCCAGGGCAGGCACCAGAGUGAAGAAAUAGAGAGACAAGGCCCCUGGUGGGAUGUUCACCUUCUGAUGUUCCUUCUCAACCCGGCACUGAGUCAGAGCCCCUGAGGCGGGAGCCAGCCAGUCCCAAGGCGCCCCUGCUCCUGUCACUGCCCCGGAGCCAGGUUCUUAACGGGAUCUGUGGCACCCCCAGAACGGAGGCACCCCUUAUCCAAGCAGAUGAGGAAACUUCGGCCUGGACAUGGAGCCUGACUUGCUGGGUCCCACAGCUGGUUAACUGCCCGCCAGGGCCACUUGCCAUUUCUUCUGCAAAGGGCUGUACAACCCUGGUUCCUUUAAGUGCUCCUCAUGUGAACAUUUUAGAGUUCUAGCCAUAUCAGAACUAAGAAGAGACUGUUAAUUUAGCAAUUAUUGGUUCAGUGGUGCCUUUCCAUAGAGGUAAGCUACCUAAGGACUUCCCUCAUGGCUCAGCUGGUAAAGAAUCCUCCUGUAAUGUGGGAGACCUGGGUUCCAUCCCUGGGUUGGGAAGAUCCCCUGAAGAAGGGAAGAACUGCCCACUCCAGUAUUCUGGCCUAGAGAAUUCCAUGGACUAUAUAGUCCAUGGGGUGGCAAAGCAUCGGACACAACUGAGUGACUUUCACUUUCACUUUUCAAGCUACCUAAGCAGCACAGACAGAUGGAUGGAGUCUAGACUGCAAAGGUUGGUGAUUGUAUGAUGGCAGCGAUGAUGGAGAAAAGUAAAUGCACGUGUAAUUUAUCACUCCUCAGCCUCUCCUAGCACCCUGCUAAAUAUCAGAGUAACCUUUAAAGAAGGCAGGAGGCCAUCAAUUAAAUAAACAGAUGCUUUGAUGGAGAAUAGAAGUGUAAACAUAGGCAUCAUCUCAUAAUUUACUGAUGGUAAAUCAGCCUAUUCAUUCAGUGGGCUGUUCUCCAUCUGACUAAAGACAAAGGAAGAAAUCCAUCACAGUGGUGUAAGGACUUUCAUGAGACCCAAUAAGCAACAAAACAGAUUACAGAAAAAGGCUGGACAUCUUUUUCCUGGGGUUACAUUUUUUAUUUAAACAAGAGGCUGCAUAGGAUUUUGUCUGGAAUGAUUUAUGCAAUACGUUUGGAGAUGCAAGGGAUGGAUUAGAUGAUCUUUG
ensembl:lncRNA